UACGGGGGGAGCAAGCGUUGUUCGGAUUUACUGGGCGUAAAGGGCGCGUAGGCGGUCAGCACAAGUCAGUUGUGAAAUCUCCGGGCUUAACCCGGAAAGGUCAACUGAUACUGUGCGACUAGAGUGCGGAAGGGGCAACUGGAAUUCUCGGUGUAGCGGUGAAAUGCGUAGAUAUCGAGAGGAACACCUGCGGCGAAGGCAGCUCGCUGGGACGUUACUGACGCUGAGACGCGAAAGCGUGGGGAGCAAACAGG
rnacentral:rRNA from 1 species